rnacentral:rRNA from 1 species
GAUGAACGCUAGCGACAGGCCUAACACAUGCAAGUCGAGGGGCAGCAUUACCGCUUGCGGUAGAUGGCGACCGGCGCACGGGUGAGUAACGCGUAUGCAACCUGCCUUACACAGGGGGAUAGCCCGGAGAAAUCCGGAUUAAUACCGCAUAACAAUCACAUUUCGCAUGGGAAGUGAUUUAAACCUACGGGGGUGUAAGAUGGGCAUGCGUAGCAUUAGUUAGUUGGUGAGGUAGAGGCUCACCAAGACGAUGAUGCUUAGGGGGUCUGAGAGGAUAGUCCCCCACACUGGUACUGAGACACGGACCAGACUCCUACGGGAGGCAGCAGUGAGGAAUAUUGGUCAAUGGACGCAAGUCUGAACCAGCCAUGUCGCGUGCAGGAUGACGGCCCUACGGGUUUGUAAACUGCUUUUCGGGAAUAAUGUCAUCUACGUGUAGAUGUUUGAAGGUACC